rnacentral:ncRNA from 1 species
AAUCCGGCUUUGAUGAAGAGUAGUAGCUGUUGCGUUAAAUUCCAGAGAGUCUGCGGAGGGUGAAAGCAGAUAUUUGAACUUCAGUGAAUGGACUUUUGAGCCCCCAUUGCGAAAUUCAGUAGUAAUUGGCGUACCGCUCUGCGUUAUGAGCUUAAAGUGGCAGUUUCAGACUGCAAUAAGGGUGGCACCGCGGAAAAUCCGUCCCUUCC